rnacentral:rRNA from 1 species
AACGAACGCUGGCGGCAUGCCUAACACAUGCAAGUCGAACGAGACCCCUGACUUCGGUUGGCGGGUCUAGUGGCGCACGGGUGCGUAACGCGUGGGAAUCUGCCCUUGGGUUCGGAAUAACUCAGAGAAAUUUGAGCUAAUACCGGAUGAUGACGAAAGUCCAAAGAUUUAUCGCCCAGGGAUGAGCCCGCGUAAGAUUAGCUUGUUGGUGGGGUAAUGGCCUACCAAGGCGACGAUCUUUAGCUGGUCUGAGAGGAUGAUCAGCCACACUGGGACUGAGACACGGCCCAGACUCCUACGGGAGGCAGCAGUGGGGAAUAUUGGACAAUGGGCGCAAGCCUGAUCCAGCAAUGCCGCGUGAGUGAUGAAGGCCUUAGGGUUGUAAAGACUCUUUUACCUAGGGAGUGAUAAUGACUGUACCCACAGAAGAAGACCCCGGCCUAACUCCGUCGCCACGCA